CACCUACUCCUCUUCAUUCUCACCAGCAAUUUCCUCCUGUUGCUCUUACACAACCACCUUCUACCCUAGCUCCUCUACCCCAUCCUCAACAGAAUCUGCCAUACCAAGUUCAGCUUCAGAACCAGUUUCCCCAGAAUCCAAUUCCCUCCCAUCCUCAGCCAGAAGCUUAUUACCCACCAGCUGGUCAAGCACCAGAAAACUUAAGUCGUCAGUACCAACCGCCUGUAGCACAGCAGCAUCAACCUACCCCACCACCUCCACAUCAGCAACAUCAGUCCACCCAUCAGCCAAUCUACUCUCAGCCACCUCCACCUCCACCUGCUCAACCACAUCUCCCUCAUCCCUCGCAACCUCAACCUCAACCUCUAGUAGGCCAUCAUCGUGAAG
rnacentral:lncRNA from 1 species